GACGAACGCUGGCGGCGUGCUUAACACAUGCAAGUCGAACGGAAAGGCCCUGCUUUUGUGGAUUGCUCGAGUGGCGAACGGGUGAGUAACACGUGAGUAACCUGCCCUUGACUUUGGGAUAACUUCAGGAAACUGGGGCUAAUACCGGAUAGGAGCUCCUGCUGCAUGGUGGGGGUUGGAAAGUUUCGGCGGUUGGGGAUGGACUCGCGGCUUAUCAGCUUGUUGGUGGGGUAGUGGCUUACCAAGGCUUUGACGGGUAGCCGGCCUGCGAGGGUGACCGGCCACAUUGGGACUGAGAUACGGCCCAGACUACUACGGGAGGCAGAAGUGGGGAAUAUUGCACAAUGGGCGGACGCCUGAUGCAGCAACGCCGCGUGCGGGAUGACGGCCUUCGGGUUGUAAACCGCUUUCGCCUGUGACGAAGCGUGAGUGACGGUAAUGGGUAAAGAAGCACCGGCUAACUACGUG
rnacentral:rRNA from 1 species